rnacentral:rRNA from 1 species
AGCUCCAAUAGCGUAUAUUAUGUUUGUUGCAGUUAAAAAGCUCGUAGUUGGAUCGCGGGUUUUGGAAUGCGGUCGUCCCUGGCCCGGCGGCCGACUGCAUGUCCUGACCUACCUGCCGGUCUUCCCCUGGUGCUCUUGACUGAGUGUCUGGGGCGGCCGGGACGUUUACUUUGAAAAAAUUAGAGUGUUCAAGGCAGGCGUUUUUGCCUGAAUAAUAGUGCAUGGAAUAAUGGAAGAGGACCUCGGUUCUAUUUUGUUGGUUUUCGGACCUUGAGGUAAUGAUUAAGAGGGACUGACGGGGGCAUUCGUAUUACGGCGUUAGAGGUGAAAUUCAUGGACCGCCGUAGGACGAACUACAGCGAAAGCAUUUGCCAAGAAUGUUUUCA